GACGAACGCUGGCGGCGUGCUUAACACAUGCAAGUCGAACGGAAAGGCCCUGCUUUUGUGGGGUGCUCGAGUGGCGAACGGGUGAGUAACACGUGAGUAACCUGCCCUUGACUUUGGGAUAACUUCAGGAAACUGGGGCUAAUACCGGAUAGGAGCUCCUGCUGCAUGGUGGGGGUUGGAAAGUUUCGGCGGUUGGGGAUGGACUCGCGGCUUAUCAGCUUGUUGGUGGGGUAGUGGCUUACCAAGGCUUUGACGGGUAGCCGGCCUGAGAGGGUGACCGGCGACAUUGGGACUGAGAGACGGCCCAGACUGCUACGGGAGGCAGCAGUGGGGAAUAUUGCACAAUGGGCGGAAGCCUGAUGCAGCAACGCCGCGUGCGGGAUGACGGCCUUCGGGUUGUAAACCGAUUUCGCCUGUGACGAAGCGUGAGUGACGGUAAUGGGUAAAGAAGCACCGGCUAACUACGUG
rnacentral:rRNA from 1 species